AUUGAACGCUGGCGGCAGGCCUAACACAUGCAAGUCGAGCGGAGCGGCGGACGGGUGAGUAAUGCCUAGGAAUCUGCCUGGUAGUGGGGGAUAACGUUCGGAAACGGGCGAUAAUACCGAAUACUAUCAGAUGAGUCUAGGUCGGAUUAGCUAGUGGGUGGGGUAAAGGCCUACCAUGGCGACGAUCCGUAACGGGUCUGAGAGGAUGAUCAGUCACACUGGAACUGAGACACGGUCCAGACUCCUACGGGAGGCAGCAGUGGGGAACAUGUGAAAAUGGGCGAAAGCCGGAUCCAGCAAUGCCGCGGGUGUGAAGAAGGUCUUCGGAUUGUAAAGCACUUUAAGUUGGGAGGCGUUACCAACAGAAUAAGCACCGGCUAACUACGUGCCAGCAGCCGCGGUAAUAC
rnacentral:rRNA from 1 species